GAUGAACGCUGGCGGCGUGCUUAACACAUGCAAGUCGAACGAAGCACUUAAGUUUGAAUCUUCGGAUGAAGACUUUUGUGACUGAGUGGCGGACGGGUGAGUAACGCGUGGGUAACCUGCCUCAUACAGGGGGAUAACAGUUAGAAAUGACUGCUAAUACCGCAUAAGACCACAGCACCGCAUGGUGCAGGGGUAAAAACUCCGGUGGUAUGAGAUGGACCCGCGUCUGAUUAGCUAGUUGGUGGGGUAACGGCCUACCAAGGCGACGAUCAGUAGCCGACCUGAGAGGGUGACCGGCCACAUUGGGACUGAGACACGGCCCAA
rnacentral:rRNA from 1 species